AUAAACAUACUAAAGAAAGGGGUACCUACCCUUAUCUUUGGACGAAACCCACGUUCAAUCCUUCGUGCACCAACCUCCUACUACAUCGAAGCUAAAUGUACAUUUAAUUUCUCUUUUUUCCAGUUGUCCUUUGGUUUCUGGCCUGUUUAGCUAGAAUUGCUCUAUGAAGUUGACCAAACUUGUUCUGGCAUGUUGGGGUUUGUUGAUUGUUUGAGGUUUGGGUGAGUGAGAGAGAAUUCAAAAGAUGUUUAUCCUGAUUGAUAAAUUAUGGGUGGCAAGUAAAAACAUUUCCUGAAUUACGAGGGCUCACUGCAUUCUGCAUUUGUGGAUAGAUUUGGGCAUUACAGUUGAUCAAGGGUUCUCUUUGUUUUAGCUUGGAAUGAAGAGUUCCUUCAAUAGGAUUUGAUUGAGGCGACACUUUCAUUUGUGAGUUUUACAAUACGAUGAUAACAGUGUUUGAGUUAUAAAUAGUGGGAGAGUAGUGUUAUCGAUAUCUACCUUGGAUGAUGGGCCGAUUCGUUUCGAGAGAAAGGGAGCUUGAAGUUGAUCUUGAAAGUGGCGGGACAACCAGUGAUGAGGAUCGAAUGAGCGAUCCCAUUUCAGCAAAUGGACAAGCCAAGGCACUUUUAAUGGAGGCAUGGACUGUUCCUGUGGGUUUUCAAGGAUUUGUGAAUUCAUCAAGCUUUGGCGAGGUUGGUGCUGAGGAUGUGGAAUUGUUGAUAGACAAGAAUUCAGAAGGAAAAGAGGGACAGCAGAAAGCCUUUGUGGAUAGGAAGGAUGUCGAAGAGAAACAUAUAAAGAAGAAUUUGAGAAAACCUCCCAAGCCACCGAGACCUCCUAGAAGUCUGUCACUGGAUGCUUCUGACCAGAAGUUGAUGAAAGAAAUCACCGAGCUUGCCAUGAGAAAACGUGCCAGGAUUGAAAGACUUAAAGCGCUAAAGAAGAUGAGAGCAGCAAAGGCGUCAUCUUCGAGCAGUAGCUUAUCUGCCAUGUUCAUCACAAUCAUCUUCUUCCUCAUUAUUAUCUAUCAAGGUAGAAAGACUUUUAGAAUGGUCUUAUACUAGAAACUCUAUUCCAUACAACUCAUAUGCUGCAUGUCUAGUAUAUUCACUAGCAAGCUGCAUUUUUUGUCCAAAAUUUGUCAUGAUAAUACUAAACAUGUUCCCACUUUACAAAAUAUGCUGAUAGACAGCUCAUACGAAAAUUGCCCCUGAUAAACAUCUCUCCCAUGGUUUCUACUUUACAGCUAUGCUUUGGUAUUAUCUUGCAGUGUUUUAUUUAACAUCAGUUGUCUUCUGAAUGUCAUGGAACCUGUCCAGUAAAUAUAAGUGAAAUGUGCAUGAUAUUUUUCUGAUUUUUCUUCUUCUUGGAAUCAUACGCUUAGGGUUUUGUUUAAUAGCAUCAUUGGUUUCUUAUUCAUCAAAAAACAUCAUUGGUUUCUACUGUAUGUCAUGGAAUCUGACUAGUGACCAGUAAAUGUAAGUGAAGUGUUUCAAAUAUUUUUGCUAUGUUUUUCUCUUGGAAUGCAUUUUUUUGAGUAAAAUUUGUGUUAAUCUAUAACAAUCAAAGUACAUCAAAUCGGUACUUCCUCCUAGCAAAGUCUGCAGAAUAAGUGGACAACUCCGAGUAGUAAAUAUGUCGUCAGGGAUGCAUUAGUACAGAAUUGCUUCAACGUCAGCAUGAUUAGGAGUAAACUCCCGUGAGUCUUCAUCCAGCAACAAACAAUCUAUUUCAAGCUAAAAGUCACGCAUCCUCUUUCAAGUGGUCAGCUCAGCUUCUUUGAUGCCAUGAACUCAACCAACUUACUGCUCAGAGCGAAAAAAGACAAACCUUGAAUUUGGCUGCUGUGGAAUUAUCAGAGCAGUAUCUGAAAACUGAAAAAAUCCCUUAACAUCCCUGCUUUUUAGCUUUUAUUCCAUGCUCGAUCAAUAAUUCAUCCCAACUUCCCACAAAGUGAAAACACGGUUAUUUUUUUUGGCCGGAAAUGAAUGCUUAAGAUUGUAUUAUCGUACUUGUCUUAGUUCUCAGGUUUUCUCUAGUUUCAUGUACCAUGCUACCGAUGCAUGGCCAUCAAAAUACCAUUUAUAUUCGUUUGAUCCUUGUAUCGAAAUUCAGUAAAAUUCCUACAGAUGUGAAAUUUUUCUGAUGCUGAAGUCAAAUCUGCCUAGAUUCCUCU